rnacentral:rRNA from 1 species
UACAGAGGUCCCAAGCGUUGUUCGGAUUCACUGGGCGUAAAGGGUGCGUAGGUGGUUAGGUAAGUCCGAUGUGAAAUCUCCAGGCUCAACCUGGAAAUGGCAUUGGAUACUAUCUAGCUUGAGGAGUGGAGGGGGGGACUGGAAUUCUCGGUGUAGCAGUGAAAUGCGUAGAUAUCGAGAGGAACACCAGUGGCGAAGGCGACUGUCUGGACAGAUACUGACGCUGAGGCGCGAAAGCGUGGGGAGCAAACAGG